UAGUUGAUGAGUUUGUGGUUAACUUAGCGUCAGUGUUGUGUUCUGGUACUGUGACAGCAUUGUCUAGAACCUCGGAGCUGUAGAUAAUUUGAUUGGGUAAGAAUGGAAGAUCACUACAACAACAAUGCCCAAAGUACAGCUGAUUAUUUAGCUCAACUCUUAAAAGAUAAAUCAAGGCUUGUGGCAUUUCCAAAUUUUUUCACUCACUUAGAAAGACUUUUGGAUGAAGAAAUAACAAAAGUACGAAACUCUUUGUUUCAAAUCAAUGGAACUAAAAAAGAACCACUGGUUUUACCAGAGCCUGUUGGUGAACACGUUACCAUCCAGGAGAAGGUGUUUGUACCUGUAAAGGACUAUCCUGAUUACAACUUCGUAGGAAGGAUUUUAGGACCUAAAGGACUGACGACAAAGAUGUUGGAACAGGAAACAGGGUGUCGAAUUAUGGUGCGAGGCAAGGGUUCCAUGAGAGACAAAAAGAAGGAAGAACAGUACAAGGGAAAGCCUAACUAUGAACAUCUGAAUGAAGAACUUCAUGUUCUUAUCCAAGUCGACGAUAGCCAAAACCGGGCCAAUUUAAAGAUGGAUCGUGCGGUUAGAGAAGUAAAAAGACUACUGAUUCCAGUGACUGAUGGUGAAGACGAACUGAAAAAACGACAGCUUAUGGAGUUAGCCAUCAUCAGAGGCACCUACAGAGACAGUGGAACAAAAACUACAAGCAACAAACUCGGUUUGUAUCAUUAUCUAGAAUCUGAAGCUCUGCCUGUCUUGGCGCCACCUUUGACUUUGAGUCCUCAUCUGCGGACAGCUGCACCUAUAGGAGCCCCUCUAAUCCUCUCGCAUCGACUUCCACUGCCCACAAGUGCAGCUCUAAUCAACGGCAGUAUUCCUCCACCAUUGAUCAACCCUCAAGAGGCGGGCCUAGUUUAUAAUUAUACUCCAUACACGGACUAUCAGUAUACAACCCUCACCUCUCCGCCACUUACAGAGUACCAUACAUCUGUUGCGGAUGCUGGUGCAACUGAUAAAGAGAAGAAACAUGUGGGGGUAAGAGCUCACCCUUACAGUAGAACAGGAAUACUUUCCUAGAAUAUCACCAAGCUUCAACUCACCAUCAACGUUGAGAAUAACCUAGGCUCUCUGUAUAAAGUUCACCAGAAAAAUCGGCAAGAAGUUUAAAUAAACGAAGUGUGUAGACCUCCAGUUCUUCUUUUUGGCUAUCCAACUAACGCUGUGACAGUUUCUUCUUAUGUAUACCAGUUCUGAACUCUUGACAUUUCUUUUGGGUGAAGAACAAUCAAACCUUCGGGAACCGGUUCUAAGUACUGUGUAAUUUUGAUAAACUUUACAAUUGGAAAGGGAG
rnacentral:misc_RNA from 1 species